rnacentral:lncRNA from 1 species
AGGAGCUUUGAAGGACCCUCCCAACACAGCAAUUUCACUGCAGCUGGCUUUGGCUCAUGGCCACACUAUAUUUCCCAGACUCCCUUGCAGUUGGGUGUAGCCAUGUGACUGAGAGCUGGCCAAUGUCAUGUGAGUAGAAGUGUUUCUCCUCUACCCCCUUAGGUGAUCUUCAUGCUCAUUCCAUGGCUAGAAUGGAAGUGUGCACAGAUUCAGGUUUGGGUGCAAGGCUUAAUGGAUUAAUGAACCUUGAACAAUUUAAUUUUUCUAAACAUCGCUAUUUUUCUGAAAGUUAGGAUGAUAUUUGCAUCAUUCUGUAUGAAUUUAAUUUAGUCAACAGAUUUUGUUGAGCACUUACUCUGUGUUGAUAAUUGAUCUGGGUGCUGGGGAGAGGAGCAGUGAGCAAACACAAAAUCCCUGCCUGUUUAGAACUGAUC